rnacentral:rRNA from 1 species
UACGGGGGGGGGCAAGCGUUGUUCGGAAUUACUGGGCGUAAAGGGCUCGUAGGUGGCCAACUAAGUCAGACGUGAAAUCCCUCGGCUUAACCGGGGAACUGCGUCUGAUACUGGAUGGCUUGAGUAUGGGAGAGGGAUGUAGAAUUCCAGGUGUAGCGGUGAAAUGCGUAGAUAUCUGGAGGAAUACCGGUGGCGAAGGCGGCAUCCUGGACCAUAACUGACGCUGAGGCGCGAAAGCUAGGGGGAGCAAACGGG